rnacentral:rRNA from 1 species
AAUUUUGGACAAUGGGGGAAACCCUGAUCCAGCCAUCCCGCGUGUGUGAUGAAGGCCUUCGGGUUGUAAAGUACUUUUGACAGAGAAGAAAUGACAGGACCUAAUAAGUGCUGCAGAUGUCGGUACCUGGAGAAUAAGCACCGGCUAACUACGUGCGAGCAGCCGCGGUAAUACGUAGGGUGCAAGCGUUAAUCGGAAUUACUGGGCGUAAAGGGUACGUAGGCGGCUAGGAAAGAAAGAUGUGAAAUCCCAGGGCUCAACCUUGGAACUGCAUUUUUAACUACCUGGCUAGAGUAUGUCAGAGGGGGGUAGAAUUCCACGUGUAGCAGUGAAAUGCGUAGAGAUGUGGAGGAAUACCGAUGGCGAAGGCAGCCCCCUGGGAUAAUACUGACGCUCAGACACGAAAGCGUGGGGAGCAAACA